rnacentral:rRNA from 1 species
UGGCUCAGGAUGAACGCUAGCGGCAGGCCUAACACAUGCAAGUCGAGGGGUAACAUUGUGCUUGCACAGAUGACGACCGGCGCACGGGUGCGUAACGCGUAUAGAAUCUACCUUUUGCUGCAGGAUAGCCCAGAGAAAUUUGGAUUAAUACUGCAUAGUAUACACUACUUUCAUGAGUUAUGUAUUAAAGGUUACGGCAAAAGAUGACUAUGCGUCCUAUUAGCUAGAUGGUAAGGUAACGGCUUACCAUGGCAACGAUAGGUAGGGGCCCUGAGAGGGGGAUCCCCCACACUGGUACUGAGACACGGACCAGACUCCUACGGGAGGCAGCAGUGAGGAAUAUUGGACAAUGGAGGCAACUCUGAUCCAGCCAUGCCGCGUGCAGGAUGACUGCCCUAUGGGUUGUAAACUGCUUUUAUACAGGAAGAAACAUCUCUACGUGUAGAGACUUGACGGUACUGUAAGAAUAAGGAUCGGCUAACUCCGUGCCAGCAGCCGCGGUAAUACGGAGGAUCCAAGCGUUAUCCGGAAUCAUUGGGUUUAAAGGGUCCGUAGGUGGAUAAUUAAGUCAGAGGUGAAAGUUUGCAGCUCAACUGUAAAAUUGCCUUUGAUACUGGUUAUCUUGAAUCAUUAUGAAGUGGUUAGAAUAUGUAGUGUAGCGGUGAAAUGCAUAGAUAUUACAUAGAAUACCAAUUGCGAAGGCAGAUCACUAAUAAUGUAUUGACACUGAUGGACGAAAGCGUGGGGAGCGAACAGGAUUAGAUACCCUGGUAGUCCACGCCGUAA